rnacentral:tRNA from 1 species
GCCGGUGUGGUGAAAUUGGUAGACACGCCAUCUUGAGGGGGUGGUGGAGCAAUCCGUGCUGGUUCGAUUCCAGUCGCCGGUACCA